rnacentral:rRNA from 1 species
AAUUUUGCACAAUGGGGGAAACCCUGAUCCAGCCAUCCCGCGAGUAUGAUGAAGGACNNNGGGUUNUNAAGUACUUUUGGCAGNAANNAAAAGGCAUCUCCUAAUACGAGAUAAUGCUGACGGUAUCUGCAGAAUAAGCACCGGCUAACGACGUGCCAGCAGCCGCGGUAAUACGUAGGGAGCAAGCGUUAAUCGGAAUUAGUGGGCGUAAAGCGUGGUUAGGCGGUUAGGAAAAAAAGAUGUGAAAUCCCAGGGCUCAACCUUGGAACUGCAUUUUUAACUGCCGAGCUAGAGUAUGUCAGAGGGGGGUAGAAUUCCACGUGUAGCAGUGAAAUGCGUAGAUAUGUGGAGGAAUACCGAUGGCGAAGGCAGCCCCCUGGGAUAAUACUGACGCUCAGACACGAAAGCGUGGGGAGCAAACAG